rnacentral:rRNA from 1 species
GACGAACGCUGGCGGCGUGCUUAACACAUGCAAGUCGAGCGGUAAGGCCCUUUUGGGGGUACACGAGCGGCGAACGGGUGAGUAACACGUGGGUGACCUGCCCUCAGCUCUGGGAUAAGCCUGGGAAACUGGGUCUAAUACUGGAUAUGACCUUUCCUCGCAUGGGGUUGGGUGGAAAGUUUUUCGGCUGGGGAUGGGCCCGCGGCCUAUCAGCUUGUUGGUGGGGUGAUGGCCUACCAAGGCGACGACGGGUAGCCGGCCUGAGAGGGCGACCGGCCACACUGGGACUGAGACACGGCCCAGACUCCUACGGGAGGCAGCAGUGGGGAAUAUUGCGCAAUGGGCGGAAGCCUGACGCAGCGACGCCGCGUGGGGAUGA